CGGCACGGGUGAGUAACACGUAUCCAACCUGCCGUCUACUCUUGGACAGCCUUCUGAAAGGAAGAUUAAUACAAGAUGGCAUCAUGAGUCCGCAUGUUCACAUGAUUAAAGGUAUUCCGGUAGACGAUGGGGAUGCGUUCCAUUAGAUAGUAGGCGGGGUAACGGCCCACCUAGUCUUCGAUGGAUAGGGGUUCUGAGGGGAAGGUCCCCCACAUUGGAACUGAGACACGGUCCAA
rnacentral:rRNA from 1 species